rnacentral:lncRNA from 1 species
UUCUUGUUUAUUAAAUUUUUCUCAUCCAUAUAUACAUUAAAGCUUGGGAAACUUGUUCAGGCUUAUGCUGGUACAGAAACGAAACAGCUGGUACAGAAACGGAACAGAGAUCCAUAUAGCUAAUACCAUUGAAAUCACUUUCAAGCUCAUGGAAAAAGACCACUGCUACUGCUAGGACUGUAACAACAGGCAAGCUCAGUGCGCACGUAUAUGGCAUUGGAGAAAAGUGAAGCCGCCUCAAAAAUCAAUCCUGUUGAGCCAUUAUUUAAACAGCUGCCAACAUAUUGCUGACCAAACCAAAUUCAUGACAUAAGAAGAUACUUUCCCAUGUUGACACUCUUCCAUCUCUCUCUGCUACCAAAAAGUCCCACCACAGACGAAAAACGAACAUAUUACCAUAUCCAAGGCAGCUGUAAACGUUUCCCUCUUUAUAACAUCCAUACCCGGCUGAUGCGCCAACGGUACAUUGCAUACGAAUCCAAUUGCAUAUUUUUAGUUGUAUUUUCAGAGCCGCUUUGGAAAACGAGGAGGGUGGUCGAGAUGGCGAGAGGGACUAGUGAGUUGAUUAUGUAUGGAGUAAACAUCUGCUUAUUGAAGAAGAAUGUGAAGAAAGAAUUGGAGGUCGAUUGAGAUGCACAGACGAUGGAAAAUGUUGAAACUGGAAGACAGAUGAGCCCAAUUGAAUAGAGAAAGCAAUCUGCUGCUCUGAUUAUGCCUAGGCUAAGAUAAGGUUUGGUGGCUUUAUUGUUUUGGUCUUUAGUUGGUCAAAUACAAUUUCCGAUUCUGCAUUGGGAUUUUUGCUUCUUUGUGAAACUUCAUGCAGUAGUAGAAAGGCAAGAGAAUUGGGAAGCCUGCAAGUUGCAUUACUGUUGCUAGCCAUUCGCUAUUUCCUCCUUCCCAAUAGAGCAGCCGCUGCGUGGCCUGACAGAACAAAGAAUGCGUGAAUGGCUAUUCGGAUCCGCACCCAAUAUAGUUUCUUGAUCCAUUUAGUACUGCUGGUUGAUAUUGAUUGGUCGGACUGCAUUGUUCUAUUAAGUUUGUUCUCCUUCAUCUCUUUCAACCGGCAAGAAUGCAGAUAAAAAUAUAAGUACUAUAGAUUAUAGAAUAAUCUAUUACUUUUUUUUUAUUAUUACAUGAGACUAUUGCUUAAGAAUACAACUUGUAUUACAUGAGAUUACAACUGAUAUUUACAAAUCAGACUAUUAUUGGAACUAGUUUACAUCGAGGACGCCUAGAUUUUUUACCUUCUCUAAUAUUCGAGGGACGUCUAUUCUACUCACAUUUCAAAAAAGAAAAGAUUGUUUUCACUCAAAUUUACUCUCACAAUACGUUAUGGGGGUUCGAACUCAUGACCUCACAACCUCUAGGCUUUUAGCCUAACAGAAUAAUCUAUUACUUAAAUUAGAAAAUUUGAUAUCUAAAUCAUUUGCAAGUAUGUAACCUUUCAACUUAUUAAUCCGCAAGUUAUCCGGUCCUGCUCUGUUUUUGAAGGUGCUAUUUUUCGGCUAAUGCCAGUGGUACUGCUAGGCAAAUAAGUACGUGGAUAUAUAUGAAUGCAUAAAAAUCGACAAUGAUCAAGAAUUUUGUUAUGAAGAAUAAAUUAAAGCAAACAAUAACAAAAACUCAUGACUAACCAAUGACUUGGAGUUGCAGUUCUUCAAAUUCUCCCGUAUGGUUAGUCUCUCAGAAAGAAGAUAUUAAGCCAAAAGGGGAGACAAGAAACAGAGAAAAAAUUUAUUCAAGAAUUAAUGGGCUUUGUGAGUUGUGAACCAUAUGUGGCUCUGACAAUAUUAUAUCCGGUUUGCAAAAAAAAAAACUUCGUGGAACGACCUUUAUUUAACUUCAUCAAAUCAAUUAUAUAUUUUGGGCCUGGCUAUAUUGGAGCUGCUCCACGAUAGAGUACUGUUGAUAAUUAUACGAUCAUAAACAUAAAAAUAAAAUCUGAACUUAGUGUCAGGGGUGAGCAAAUUUGGGUUCAGAACAACCCGAUCCGAUUAUGGGUUAAUCAUAUUGGAAAAAAUAUAACUCAAACAUGUGAUCCAAUUCGAUCCAAUCAGAUCCAAACAAAUUCGGAUCGAAUCGAAAAUUUACGCUUGUUUUUGCUUUGAUUUUUUCAUAUUUUCGGAUUAGAUCGGGUUUGAUUUUUUCAGAUUGACCCGAUCUGAGAUCGAGUUAGAGCCUUCAUCUGAAUCUAAUCCGAACCCAAAUUUUUCGGAUCUGAUCGGGUCGGGAUGGGUUAUUUGUCCACCCUUACUUAAUGUUAUGAUCUGACAAUCAUCAUCAGUGCUCUACUGUGGAGCAACUCCAUCAUAUCCAUUGCCAUAUAUUUUCAUUCAUACCUAAAUCUAAAUAUAAAUUAAAUAAUAUCCACAUGUGUUCUUACAUGUAGGACGGCCUAGAUCAACUUUUAUUUCGUAUAGUCUCUGCCCCCUAAUUAUAUAGUAUUACCAUCUAUUUGCCGAAAGUAUUAGAUUUAACGUUAAUACUGGACAGCACUAAUGGAGUGUUGUUGAAUGAAUAAUCUAAUCUCAACAAGGAUGAAUAUGUUAAAACAGCACAUUUGCAUGUCUUUAUCAAGCAAAUUGUGGAUUUCGAUUCGUAAAAAAUCAAUGUAACGUCCAUGUUCUGAUGAAAUCAUGAUGGAGUGUUUUUUUCAUUUAUGUUUUUGUACAGACGCGUAGGUGUCGACCUCAGUUAGUUGAAAUCAAUAAUGACUGUAUUGUGUCACAUGUGGUAAUUUUUUUAUUAAAUCGGAUGGAUGGAUAGAAUAGAAUAAGAUGCAAUGUGGAACGCGGAUAUCGGUUUGCAAUAUAAUUCGUCGUGCGAUUUUUUCAAUAUAGAUACAUGUGAUAGAAUUAGUGAUUCUUUUAACAAUGAAUUGAUCAUCUAGAGCUACUAUAUAUUAUUGCUACAUAAAUUUAAGUACAAUCUCUUGUUCCUCCAUAUACUUAAACACAUAUAGCAAGAGGAUUUUUGACGUUUUUCCAUGCAUAAUGUUGGUAGUUUAACUGAAUCACAUCAAUGAGUUUACGGAACGUGUGAAGUUAUUUUACAAUGUUUUUUGGAAAUUACCGAAAGCACUACCAAGCGCAAAACGUGUCCAUCUUAAUUCCUUUCUUUAAAAUUCACAGACGAAACAAUUCAUAACACAUUAAUAGUAUUUAUUAAUUUUAUUCCCAUUUUUUAAUCUUCUUUAAAUUUUUCUUGCUAUAAUCUCAUGUUUGAAUAUGAAUACUACUUAAUGAUAGUUAAAAAUGAAAAACUUCGCUAUGCGUCCGUUUUAAAUUGAAGUUGGACAUCUAUAUCUUUAAAACUACAGUACUAAAAUGUUUAGUAAACACUAAUUACUGUACUUUGGAAGCUAAAUUAACUUGAUUUUACACUUAUAUAAUAAAAAAAUUAUUAUAUAUUUACUAAUUUUAUUAAAAUUAUUAUUUAAAAAUUAUAUUUAUUAUAUACUAUUAAUGUUUAUUUUAUACUUACAAUUUUUUUUUUUUUCAAAACAACUAUAACAUUAAUACCAAAUAGGGGCUAUAACUACUCAAAUAAAAUGAAAUGCAUCCUAGACAAUAUGGUUCUAUGACUCAGAAAAAUCUUAGGAGAAGGGAAUUCUGUCAUGGAAGAGAAUAAGGUAUAAGAUGGGAAAGUGAAAGAUUGGAAACGGAAGACAAGAUUGCAAAACUCAACUAAUGCUGGAGAGAGAAAUUGAUAGAUUUAUUGUUAAUUAUUGAUAAUCCAUGUCAUCAUCCCCAUUUAAUCUCCACUGUAUAGAGAUGUAAAGGUUGAAAAGUUGUAUAAUUUUGUGCAAAAUUAAGUGGCCCAUCCAUUAGAUAAGAAGAAGACAAAUGAGAGAAUAAGGUUGUACUUAUCCAUUGCUAAUAGGAUUGAGCUUGAGCUAAAAUAAGAAGGAAUUAGAAUGGAUUGAAAUGAGAGUGUAAACUGGAAAUUAAAAUAAGUUAUUUACUUGAAUUAUAGGAAUUAAAAUUGAAAUGAACUCUAUUUUUAUUGAUGUGUUUAUUUAAGAAUUGAAAUAGAUUAUUUUAAAUCACUAAAAUAUCCUUAGUUAAUUAUUAUUAUUUAUUUUAAUAAUUGUGAUUAUUAUCAUUUAAAUAAAUACUUCUAACAUAAUAAUAAUAAUUUUAGCAUUAUUAUUAUUAUUAUUCUAAUGAUAACAUGUUGUUUGUUAAUUUAUAGACUCAAGAUUAUUGUUGUAUUAAUAAUGUAUUAUUAUUAUAUUAAUUUUUAUUGAAUAAUGAAUAUAUAAGAUAAAAUCAAACCAAACCAAACUGAAUCGAACUAAAUUAUAGUAUCAAACUGAACUGAAUAAAAUUAAUUUGGUUUGGUUCGGUUCGGUUCUAUAAUUUGGUGUGUAUUUGGUUCAUAAAUUCAUGAACCAUUUGGUUUUAGUUUGGUUCGGUUCUAGGGCUGAACCAAACCGAACUAAACUAAAUAGUGCCCACCCCUAGUUCAUGAUACAACAUAUUACAUAAUUUUAUACUAGUUUACGUCAACUUUUAUAUAGUACAAUGUAGAUUUAAUCAUUGAAUAUUAAUAUUCAAGAAACUUUGAAUAUUAAUAUUCAAGAAACUUUAACUUUCAUUUAAGAGAUAAUGAAAAAAAAUUAAAUUAAAUCUCCACAAUAUUUUUGGGGAGUUCGAACCACUUCCUUCACACCGCACUCCAACAUUUUAGAAAUCCUUAUCUAUAAUUAGAGGUGGCAAAAAUAUCCGUUCGGUCCGAACCCGAACAGCACUCAAGCGUUUUGGGUCAGGUAUGAAGCUGGGCCGGUUUUAAGCAUCACUUGAUAAACUCGAAACUCAAAUUUUAUUAAAAAAUAUUAUAAAAUAUAUAUUAUUUUAAAUAUUUAUAUUUAUUUGACUUAUUUAUUACAUAUAUAUAUAAAAUUUUAAAUACUUAAAAUUCAUAUUUUAAUGUUAAAUUUUAUUAAAAAUAUAUAAAAUUCGAAUACCUAAAUUAAAGCCUGACACAACUUAACUCGGACAUUUAUAGAUUCGGGUUAGGUCCCGUCAUUGCGAUACUCGACCCAGCUUGGGAUUUUGCCAACCCUUUCUAUAAUGACUUAUAUUUCUUUUGUACCGUCAUUAUCACUGUUAGAUGCACGAAGCCUAAUUAUGACCCUGACACUAAAGCACUUGCGGAUUGACCUUGGCAUUUUACUGUAUAUAUUAAGUAGACGUAACUCUCAGUCUCUCACAUUAAUGGUGAGUGGACCGACCACCAUGAAUGUGUGUGUAUGAUUUUCUUAUUUUACUUUAAUUUUAAUUUAUUGUUUUUAUUUUAAAGUCGUCCAUUUAUUUUGUGUGCAUCUAGUUGUUUCCAUUUAUCAUAAUUAUAGGAAGAAUAUUUUUAUUUUAAUUUUUCCUACUGUUAAUAUUGAGCAUUGUUAUUUUAUGCGCCUCUAGUUGUAUCCAAUUAUCAUAGAAAAUAUAUCAUAAAAAAUUAUCAUCGAAAAUGACAGUUAAUUCUAUUAUUUCAUUCUUACGCUCCCUUCUUAAUUAAAUUACUCCAAAGAGAAUUUUAAAACACAGAAUUAAGUCAUUUUCUAUUAUUAAUUUAUAACCCCUUUUUUUUAUAUAAUGCUCAGACGUGAAAAUAAAUAAAGUUAUAACCUCAUGAUUUCUUUUUUGUCAAAUUAUAACUCCACGAUUUCUUAAAUGUGCUAUUAUGGUGAAUGAAAAGUUUUUAGUACUCUUUAAAUAUUACUUCUUAAUUAUUCAUUAUUUAUCAUGCAUGUAUACAAAUUAUUAUGAUUAAUUAAAAUUAUACAUAAUAAAUAAUGAAUAGAAAAAAAAAAUAAUACUUUAGGAUUACCCAAAAUUUUUGGUCAUCAUGACCACUGACUAACUCUCUCUGGGCUUCAUGGUUGGAAACGGAUCCGGUGCUCAGCACAAGCUCAGCUGAGCACCGGAUCCUGGUCCUUCAUGGUUAGCUUUACGGACUUGCUUGGUCAGCUUUUAUUUUGUGCCGACGGUAGUUGACAGUCCGGCGACUGUUGUUUGACAAAAUUACAAAAGCAAAUGAUGGUGUCUCAAUCAUUUUUAUUUAUUUUUUAACAAAAAUUCGAAGUGAGCCGAACCGCGCGACGUGUGCAAGUUUUUCUCGUGAAGAGUUUGUUUUGGUUAGUCAUUACACACGUGUCACGGAGAAAAGUCAUUGACACUGAUCUUGGUUUUGAUUAUAUAUAUAUAUAUAAUGGCUAUAGAAAAGCCAAUUCCUUUCUUGUUUAUUAAAUUUUUCUCAUCCAUAUAUACAUUAAAGCUUGGGAAACUUGUUCAGGCUUAUGCUGGUACAGAAACGAAACAGCUGGUACAGAAACGGAACAGAGAUCCAUAUAGCUAAUACCAUUGAAAUCACUUUCAAGCUCAUGGAAAAAGACCACUGCUACUGCUAGGACUGUAACAACAGGCAAGCUCAGUGCGCACGUAUAUGGCAUUGGAGAAAAGUGAAGCCGCCUCAAAAAUCAAUCCUGUUGAGCCAUUAUUUAAACAGCUGCCAACAUAUUGCUGACCAAACCAAAUUCAUGACAUAAGAAGAUACUUUCCCAUGUUGACACUCUUCCAUCUCUCUCUGCUACCAAAAAGUCCCACCACAGACGAAAAACGAACAUAUUACCAUAUCCAAGGCAGCUGUAAACGUUUCCCUCUUUAUAACAUCCAUACCCGGCUGAUGCGCCAACGGUACAUUGCAUACGAAUCCAAUUGCAUAUUUUUAGUUGUAUUUUCAGAGCCGCUUUGGAAAACGAGGAGGGUGGUCGAGAUGGCGAGAGGGACUAGUGAGUUGAUUAUGUAUGGAGUAAACAUCUGCUUAUUGAAGAAGAAUGUGAAGAAAGAAUUGGAGGUCGAUUGAGAUGCACAGACGAUGGAAAAUGUUGAAACUGGAAGACAGAUGAGCCCAAUUGAAUAGAGAAAGCAAUCUGCUGCUCUGAUUAUGCCUAGGCUAAGAUAAGGUUUGGUGGCUUUAUUGUUUUGGUCUUUAGUUGGUCAAAUACAAUUUCCGAUUCUGCAUUGGGAUUUUUGCUUCUUUGUGAAACUUCAUGCAGUAGUAGAAAGGCAAGAGAAUUGGGAAGCCUGCAAGUUGCAUUACUGUUGCUAGCCAUUCGCUAUUUCCUCCUUCCCAAUAGAGCAGCCGCUGCGUGGCCUGACAGAACAAAGAAUGCGUGAAUGGCUAUUCGGAUCCGCACCCAAUAUAGUUUCUUGAUCCAUUUAGUACUGCUGGUUGAUAUUGAUUGGUCGGACUGCAUUGUUCUAUUAAGUUUGUUCUCCUUCAUCUCUUUCAACCGGCAAGAAUGCAGAUAAAAAUAUAAGUACUAUAGAUUAUAGAAUAAUCUAUUACUUUUUUUUUAUUAUUACAUGAGACUAUUGCUUAAGAAUACAACUUGUAUUACAUGAGAUUACAACUGAUAUUUACAAAUCAGACUAUUAUUGGAACUAGUUUACAUCGAGGACGCCUAGAUUUUUUACCUUCUCUAAUAUUCGAGGGACGUCUAUUCUACUCACAUUUCA